rnacentral:rRNA from 1 species
CAGUCGCCACGGUAAAACAGAGGGUGCAAGCGUUAAUCGGAAUUACUGGGCGUAAAGCGCGCGUAGGUGGUUUGUUAAGUUGGAUGUGAAAUCCCCGGGCUCAACCUGGGAACUGCAUCCAAAACUGGCAAGCUAGAGUAUGGUAGAGGGUGGUGGAAUUUCCUGUGUAGCGGUGAAAUGCGUAGAUAUAGGAAGGAACACCAGUGGCGAAGGCGACCACCUGGACUGAUACUGACACUGAGGUGCGAAAGCGUGGGGAGCAAACAGGAUUAGAUACCCCCGUAGUCCCUGUCUCUUAUAC